GGCUUCGUAGUGUAGUGGUUAUCACGCUUGACGCGAAUUCGAGAGGUUCAUGGUUCGAUUCCAGGCGAAGGCG